AGAGUUUGAUCCUGGCUCAGGAUGAACGCUGGCGGCGUGCUUAACACAUGCAAGUCGAACGAAGCACUUAAGUUUGAUUCUUCGGAUGAAGACUUUUGUGACUGAGUGGCGGACGGGUGAGUAACGCGUGGGUAACCUGCCUCAUACAGGGGGAUAACAGUUAGAAAUGGCUGCUAAUACCGCAUAAGACCACAGCACCGCAUGGUGCAGGGGUAAAAACUCCGGUGGUAUGA
rnacentral:rRNA from 1 species